AAGUCGUAACAAGGUUUCCGUAGGUGAACCUGCGGAAGGAUCAUUCAAAAUAAAAGUGAAUUUUAUGGCACUUUUAAAACAAUCCAUAUCCACCUUGUGUGCAAUGUAAAAAAAAAAAAUGAAAGAGGAUUUGGGGGGGUCCAUUUCUCCCGAUCCUUUUUUCUAAAUAUAUCAACUCUUUGCUUUGAAACCUGUUUGUCUGAUAUAAAAAUAUUCUUGAAUAAUAACUUAAUUCAAAAAUACAACUUUCAACAACGGAUCUCUUGGCUCUC
rnacentral:misc_RNA from 1 species